rnacentral:misc_RNA from 1 species
UAUCAUAACAAUGCCCACACAUUAAUUAAGCUAAAGAAUCCAUUGCUCUUCCUUGAAUAUGUAGCCGCCAUUUUCAUCGGAGUUCCUUGAUGAAACACCAUCUUUGGAACUACAUUGCAGAUAACAAGGUUUGGAUUCAUUGUCCAAGUUCAACAUCAGCAUGAUUUGAAUGCAUCUCUACAGCCAUUUCUUUUCAGACAAAGAUAUAAGCUGACGAGCAACCUGAGCCAUCCUCCUAUUGUCUCUAGAUGACUCAGCUAUCAAGCCCGAAUUGAG